UGUUUCUGCCAGGACUCGAAACUGGGAACUUCCGCGUGUUAGACGAAUAUGAUAACCACUAUACAACC